GAGUUUGAUCAUGGCUCAGAUUGAACGCUGGCGGCAUGCUUUAACAUGCAAGUCGAACGGCAGCAUAGGUGCUUGCACCUGAUGGCGAGUGGCGAACGGGUGGUAAUGUAUCGGAACAUAUCCGCAAGUGGGGGAUAACGUAGCGAAAGUUACGCUAAUACGCAUAUUCCCUGAGGGGGAAAGGAGGGGAUCCGCAAGGACCUUUCGCUUACGGAGUGGCGAUAUCAGAUUAGCUAGUUGGUGAGGUAAAGGCUCACCAAGGCGACGAUCUGUAGCGGGCUGAGAGGAUGAUCCGCCACACUGGGACUGAGAUACGGCCCAGACUCCUACGGGAGGCACAG
rnacentral:rRNA from 1 species